UACGAAGGGGGCUAGCGUUGCUCGGAAUCACUGGGCGUAAAGGGUGCGUAGGCGGGUCUUUAAGUCAGGGGUGAAAUCCUGGAGCUCAACUCCAGAACUGCCUUUGAUACUGGAGAGCUUGAGUCCGGAAGAGGUGAGUGGAACUCCGAGUGUAGAGGUGAAAAUUCGUAGAUAUUCGGAAGAACACCAGUGGCGAAGGCGGCUCACUGGUCCGGUACUGACGCUGAGGUGCGAAAGCGUGGGGAGCAAACAGGG
rnacentral:rRNA from 1 species